rnacentral:antisense_RNA from 1 species
GGGUGCUUGAGGCUGUUUGCCUGGAGCAUUCGUGAAAGGCAGACAGAGAAAAGCCCCAGUUAACAUUCGGCGUCUUGCAGGACGCUUAACAUUAAACUGAGGCCAAUCCAAUGCUUGAACAACUGAAGAUUAGCCUCUUAACCGUAAGAAAUCAACUUACAGGAGGCUGUAAUG